AACGAACGCUGGCGGCAUGCCUAACACAUGCAAGUCGAACGAGAUCUUCGGGUCUAGUGGCGUACGGGUGCGUAACGCGUGGGAAUCUGCCCUUUGGUUCGGAAUAACAGUUGGAAACGACUGCUAAUACCGGAUGAUGACGAAAGUCCAAAGAUUUAUCGCCAGAGGAUGAGCCCGCGUAGGAUUAGCUAGUUGGUGUGGUAAAGGCGCACCAAGGCGACGAUCCUUAGCUGGUCUGAGAGGAUGAUCAGCCACACUGGGACUGAGACACGGCCCAGACUCCUACGGGAGGUAGCAGUGGGGAAUAUUGGACAAUGGGCGAAAGCCUGAUCCAGCAAUGCCGCGUGAGUGAUGAAGGCCUUAGGGUUGUAAAGCUCUUUUACCCGGGAUGAUAAUGACAGUACCGGGAGAAUAAGCUCCGGCUAACUCCGUGCCAGCCGCCGCGGUAA
rnacentral:rRNA from 1 species